rnacentral:rRNA from 1 species
UACGUAGGGGGCUAGCGUUGUUCGGAAUUACUGGGCGUAAAGCGCGCGUAGGCGGCUUAGCAAGUUAGAGGUGAAAGCCCGAAGCUCAACUUCGGAAUUGCCUUUAAAACUGCAAAGCUAGAAUCAUGGAGAGGUGAGUGGAAUUCCGAGUGUAGAGGUGAAAUUCGUAGAUAUUCGGAAGAACACCAGUGGCGAAGGCGACUCACUGGACAUGUAUUGACGCUGAGGUGCGAAAGCGUGGGGAGCAAACAGG